CAACGAGCAGGCGACAACAGCAGGGAGCAGGGGACUCUACAGCUACCUGCAUCCUCUGGCCGCUCGUUAAGCCUGCGACUCCUGCUCAACUACCAGCUGCCAAUAAAAUGCUACCACAUCAACUGCUUUGCUGUUUACUCAUGCUACUGCCAACCAUGUCCUCCGUUCCUUCACCCCCUUCUCACUUGCAGCUGCAUUGUACUACGGCUGGACAGCUUCACCACACUGCCCAUUUCCAUACACUACUACACAUUCAAACACUUCAGAACUGUCACAACCUACAUGCUUAAACCGAGCACUCUAACCAAACAACACACACUACUCUAGCACACUGCUUAACUGUUAGGACAUUCUCUGACACGCAUUCCACCUGUCUUUACACACAACAACAUGCUCAAUUACACUCACAAAAGUAUCAUCAACUCACUCCAACACAAACACGCAACAGUACCACUGCUUCCUGCUCUGGACUACCUCAGCCUCCACAUCUACACAACUCUGCAGCAUUAAGUAUCACACACACCAUCAACUCUCAAACUAUCUACAUGUCACAACAUGUUACAAACUAUAAUGACAUACAACCAAAGUAACAAAUCGACAGCCUCAUCCAAGCAACCACAGUACACCUGCACAACAAUCAAGCAGCACACUAUACAAGCAUCAACACAACCAAACAGCACAACAGACAAACCAAACAGACCGCACAUGCAUAACAAAUGCAUGAUAACAGACAACCGGACCCACAAACAAUACGGCUGCAACCAACAUUUCAGUUUACAAUCAAUUCAUCUGCUCAUUACUUCCUCCAUUCAUUGGCCAAUCAAAUAAAAAACACAAAGAAAUAGAUUCCUUUUUUUUUCUCUUACUCUUCAGUCAAGAUAGCUUAUCACUCCAUUAUUACACUCAUAAUUACUAUCACAACAACAUCAACAGACUGCCCACUUUUAGCCUAUUUACCAUAGACAUAUCUACAAACAAGCUUACAUUCCCAUUCAUACCACACAUCAACUAGCAUCAAAUAUUACCUUUUCUUUUCUCAAAACAAAACACCUCCAACUUAGCUCACUGCUUGUUUCAACUGAACAACAUGAUUUGACCUUGGCCUCACAAAAACUCAAUCACAUUACAUCAAAUCUC
rnacentral:lncRNA from 1 species